rnacentral:rRNA from 1 species
UCAGUCGACUCCUACGGGGAGGCAGCAGUGGGGGAAUAUUGCACAAUGGGCGCAAGCCUGAUGCAGCCAUGCCGCGUGUAUGAAGAAGGCCUUCGGGUUGUAAAGUACUUUCAGCAGUGAGGAAGGCAGGUACGUUAAUAGCGUGCUUGUUUGACGUUAGCUGCAGAAGAAAGCACCGGCUAACUCCGUGCCAGCAGCCGCGGUAAUACGGAGGGUGCGAGCGUUAAUCGGAAUUACUGGGCGUAAAGCGCAUGCAGGUGGUUCGUUAAGUCAGAUGUGAAAGACCCGGGGCUCAACCUCGGAAUUGCAUUUGAAACUGGCGGACUAGAGUACUGUAGAGGGGGGUAGGAAUUUCAGGUGUAGCGGUGAAAUGCGUAGAGAUCUGAAGGAAUACCGGUGGCGAAGGCGGCCCCCUGGACAGAUACUGACACUCAGAUGCGAAAGCGUGGGGAGCAAACAGGAUUAGAUACCCUGGUAG